rnacentral:sRNA from 1 species
GCUGGGUGCAGUGCCACACACCUGUAAUCCCAGCGACUCGGAGGCUGAGGCAGGAGGAUCGCAAGUUCAAAGCCAGCCUCAG